AGACUUGGUGUAUCCCUCCCCUUGAGUUCCCCUCCUUCCUCCACAGCCUCCCCUGUCUCGUUGCUGGCUGGGAUCAGUAUGUUGGAGGGAGAUCCUUGUGCUGAGGCAGAAGGAUGACUGCUGAGAUUGCAGAAAGCCCCAGUGCCCGAGUUCUGGGGACAAUGAUGGACGAGGACCCUGAGACCCUGCUUGCCUCCCAGGGCCCCACUGAUGGGGAAGACCGGCUGCGCCGGGGGUCAGUGUCAAGCCAGCAAGGUUACUGGACAAGGUGAGCCCCAGGCCGAGUCCAGGCCGCCUUCCUGCUUCCUUCUGCUGCUACCAGUUGAGAAGGCCCACCUUUUACGAGAGAAAUGCCAGCCAUGCAGGCCUGAAGCUUCUCCAGUGACUAGAGGUUCAGCGACGGGAGUGCCACACAAAGUUCCCUCCCACAGGUGAAAGAGUGUGUUCCUCUCCCCGCAGCCCAGGAGCCUGCGUCCACCUAACACACUGCACUGUUCGGCACUGGAGGAAAAUAUCUGGACAGUGAGCAAGAGACUCUGUGCUUGGAGCAGCGUCCAUUUUAGCUGGGAACUUGGCCCUGGCUCUUGGGUGUUUGCAGGCUGAGCUCCAGUAAAUGGACUUUCAACUCUGCAAGGUGCAGGACCUGAUUUCAACUUUCCUAAAUUCCCACACAGGCUCACGGUCGACAACUGAUGCCCCUAGGGUGAGAGCUAUUUCAGAAAUGGUGCCUGGGCCCUUUAAGCAGUGAUGUUUCUGGGACUCAUAAGAUUUGAGGUGACAAAAUCAACUGGAGCAACAGCAAAAUGAGAGCUGACCGGGGAAGUUCAGGUUUUCAGUCCCAGUAAGGCAGGUUUCCCUGGUGGCUCAAACGGUGAAGAAUCUGCUCAUGAUGCGAUGCCGGAGACCCGGGUUUGAUGCCCAGGUCAAAGAAGAUGCUGGAGA